CCUACGGGUGGCAGCAGUGAGGAAUCUUCGUCAAUGGGCGCGAGCCUGAACCAGCCAAGUCGCGUGAGGGAAGACGGUCCUAUGGCUUGUAAACCUCUUUUGUCGGGGAGCAAAAGACGUCACGCGUGUCGUUUCGAGAGUACCUGAAGUAAAAGCAUCGGCUAACGCCGUGCCAGCAGCCGCGGUAAUACGGGGGAUGCGAGCGGUAUCCGGAUUUAUUGGGUUUAAAGGGUGCGCAGGCGGAAGAGCAAGUCAGCGGUAAAAGUGAGAGGCUCAACCUCUUCGAGCCGUUGAAACUGGCAGUCUCGAGUUGGAGAGAAGGAUGCGGAAUGCGCGGUGUAGCGGUGAAAUGCAUAGAUAUCGCGCAGAACGCCGAUUGCGAAGGCAGCAUGCCGGCUCCAAACUGACGCUGAGGCACGAAAGCGUGGGUAUCGAACAGGAUUAGAUACCCCUGUAGUC
rnacentral:rRNA from 1 species